rnacentral:rRNA from 1 species
CUAGGGGGGGCAGCAGUGGGGAAUAUUGGACAAUGGGCGAAAGCCUGAUCCAGCCAUGCCGCGUGUGUGAAGAAGGCCUUCGGGUUGUAAAGCACUUUCAGUGGGGAAGAAAGCCUUGGGGCUAAUACCCUCGAGGAAGGACAUCACCCACAGAAGAAGCACCGGCUAACUCCGUGCCAGCAGCCGCGGUAAUACGGAGGGUGCGAGCGUUAAUCGGAAUUACUGGGCGUAAAGCGCGCGUAGGCGGUCUGAUAAGCCGGUUGUGAAAGCCCCGGGCUCAACCUGGGAACGGCAUCCGGAACUGUCAGGCUAGAGUGCAGGAGAGGAAGGUAGAAUUCCCGGUGUAGCGGUGAAAUGCGUAGAGAUCGGGAGGAAUACCAGUGGCGAAGGCGGCCUUCUGGACUGACACUGACGCUGAGGUGCGAAAGCGUGGGUAGCAAACAGGAUUAGAUACCCCAGUAGUC